AGCGAACGCUGGCGGCAGGCUUAACACAUGCAAGUCGAACGGGCACUUCGGUGCUAGUGGCAGACGGGUGAGUAACGCGUGGGAACGUGCCUUUCGGUUCGGAAUAAUCCAGGGAAACUUGGACUAAUACCGGAUACGCCCUUCGGGGGAAAGGAUUUAUCGCCGAAAGAUCGGCCCGCGUCUGAUUAGCUAGUUGGUGAGGUAAAGGCUCACCAAGGCGACGAUCAGUAGCUGGUCUGAGAGGAUGAUCAGCCACACUGGGACUGAGACACGGCCCAGACUCCUACGGGAGGCAGCAGUGGGGAAUAUUGGACAAUGGGCGAAAGCCUGAUCCAGCCAUGCCGCGUGAGUGAUGAAGGCCUUAGGGUUGUAAAGCUCUUUUGUCCGGGAAGAUAAUGACUGUACCGGAAGAAUAAGCCCCGGCUAACUUCGUGCCAGCAGCCGCGGUAAU
rnacentral:rRNA from 1 species